rnacentral:misc_RNA from 1 species
GAUGAAGAACGUAGUGAAAUGCGAUAAGUAGUGUGAAUUGCAGAAUUCAGUGAAUCAUCGAAUCUUUGAACGCACAUUGCGCCCCAUGGUAUUCCGUGGGGCAUGCCUGUUCGAGCGUCAUUUACCCCCUCAAGCUCCGCUUGGUGUUGGGCGUCUGUCCCGCUUCGCGCGCGGACUCGCCCCAAAGGUAUUGGCAGCGGUCGUGCCAGCUUCUCGCGCAGCACAUUGCGCUUCUCGAGGCACCGGUGGGCCCGCGUCCAUCAAGCUCACCCCCCCAGUUUGACCUCGGAUCAGGUAGGGAUACCCGCUGAACUUAAGCAUAUCAAUAAGCGAGGA